rnacentral:rRNA from 1 species
AGAGUUUGAUCCUGGCUCAGAACGAACGCUGGCGGCAGGCCUAACACAUGCAAGUCGAGCGCGCCUUUCGGGGUGAGCGGCGGACGGGUUAGUAACGCGUGGGAAUAUGCCCUUUGGUACGGAAUAGCCUCUGGAAACGGAGAGUAAUACCGUAUGAGCCCUUCGGGGGAAAGAUUUAUCGCCAAAGGAUUAGCCCGCGUUAGAUUAGGUAGUUGGUGGGGUAAUGGCCUACCAAGCCUACGAUCUAUAGCUGGUUUUAGAGGAUGAUCAGCAACACUGGGACUGAGACACGGCCCAGACUCCUACGGGAGGCAGCAGUGGGGAAUCUUGGACAAUGGGGGCAACCCUGAUCCAGCCAUGCCGCGUGAGUGAAGAAGGCCCUAGGGUCGUAAAGCUCUUUCGCCUGUGAAGAUAAUGACGGUAGCAGGUAAAGAAACCCCGGCUAACUCCGUGCCAGCAGCCGCGGUAAUACGGAGGGGGUUAGCGUUGUUCGGAAUUACUGGGCGUAAAGCGCACGUAGGCGGAUCGGAAAGUUGGGGGUGAAAUCCCGGGGCUCAACCCCGGAACUGCCUCCAAAACUAUCGGUCUAGAG